rnacentral:rRNA from 1 species
UACAGGGGGGGCAAGCGUUGUUCGGAAUUACUGGGCGUAAAGGGUUCGUAGGUGGCCACCUAAGUCAGACGUGAAAUCCCUCAGCUUAACUGGGGAACUGCGUCUGAUACUGGGUGGCUUGAGUGCAGGAGAGGAAUGCGGAAUUCCAGGUGUAGCGGUGAAAUGCGUAGAUAUCGGGAGGAACACCAGUGGCGAAGGCGACUUCCUGGCCUGUUCUUGACGCUGAGGCGCGAAAGCUAGGGUAGCAAACGGG